AAAUAAAUAUAGUUUAAAAGGAUCUACAUCUCAAAAUUAUAAAGAAUUUAAAGUUUUGCCUAUUAGUUCACUGUAUAAAAAAUUUGCCAUUAUGUGGGUAGUAAAAAUAUGGAAAAUUGGUAUAAUAUAGAUAAAUCUAAACAAACUAGGGAAAUUAGGGCAUAUGAUGCUAAAAUUAAUUAUACGUUUACUUCUUUUGGUCAAAAAUUUUAUAACUCUUUAGAUUUAGAUUUAA